rnacentral:lncRNA from 1 species
GACUGGGACUCAUACUGGGCCUCAGCUCCCCCUGCCUCUUCCUCUGAGCAGUAGGUUCUGCCUAUCUCUCCAGCUGUCCGUGUCCUAUGGUGCCUGGGCUGAAAGGGACCCACAGGCAUCCUUGUGCCAAGCCAAGGAUGAUGAGGGCUGCUUGGGACCUGGGCACCUGGACUUCAUGGGUGAGUGACGCCAAAGCUUCAAAAACCAUCCUCAAGUCCGCCCAUGUAAUCAGAGCUAUGACAGGGAUGGAAUCUAGCAGCUUCGCCAGCUUCCUCAAGCUUGGUGAGCCCAGAACCAAAGGAGGCCAGGCUCUGUUUACAUUGGCAAAGCUGGAAGGUUCAAGAGAUACCUUAUAUGCACACAGAUUCCACCUAUUGUGGCAGUUGACUCUCAAACAUGAACCCUGAGCUUACACUCAUUUUGCAUCCUGACUAUUACAAGGAAAUUCUUCAGGACAUCCAAUGUGUCUUACUGUUGCUUCAAAGGACCUCCAAAAUAAGCCGCCUUGACCCCAAAGCAGGGGAAGUUGGGAUGGUCUGUCGGAUUUCUCACCAGUCCACACCGCCUUCCCACCCACUGUCCUCCCCUGGUCUCUGUCUUGAUGACUCUACAGAUGCAUCUGAGAAGGCUUCUGUAGAACGACUCAUCGGAUGUGUGAUGACCUUGGCAAGAAAAGCUGAAGCAAAGCCAGAAGCCUCCUGGCUUGGUCUGAGGUGCCUGCACUAAGCAUCGUGUCCUUUCUUCCUCCCACCUCUCAGCUCACAGCUCCCUAGACUUGGCUUCCAUCAUAUCAACUAGUUCCACUGAUGUCAUCAAUGACCUAAGCCACUAAACUUACCUGGUACCCUACUCAGGAUAAAAUUGAACUCCUGGUGUGGUCUGUGGCAUCCUGGCUUCCUGCGCGUCAGUAUAUUAGGUGAGUUUCUUCCAUCAGCCACCCAAACUCUUACAUAUAUCUCCUUCAGAACUCCAUCAGAACUCAGCUGAAAUGCACUUCAGCCAGUUGCUGACCUUUGCUUGGAGUCUGGUGAAAGUACAACAUUCCCCUCCCCCCAUUCCCAAGCCCAUUUCCACUCCGACUGAAUAGGUAACUGACUUAAGGAAAUCAAACUGUAAAACAAGAAACACAUCUAUUUUGAUCUCUCUCUUUCUCUCUCCUUCCCUCCUUCCCUCCCUCUCUCCUUCUCUCCCUCUCUCCCUUCCUCCCCUCCCUCUCUCCCUUUCUUCCCUCCCCCUCUCCUUCUCCUGAUCUAG